GAUGAACGCUGGCGGCGUGCCUAAUACAUGCAAGUAGAACGCUGAAGGAAGGAGCUUGCUCUUUCCGGAUGAGUUGCGAACGGGUGAGUAACGCGUAGGUAACCUGCCUGGUAGCGGGGGAUAACUAUUGGAAACGAUAGCUAAUACCGCAUAACAGUAGAUGUUGCAUGAUAUCUACUUAAAAGGUGCAAUUGCGCCACUACCAGAUGGACCUGCGUUGUAUUAGCUAGUUGGUGAGGUAACGGCUCACCAAGGCGACGAUACAUAGCCGACCUGAGAGGGUGAACGGCCAAACUGGGACUGGGAAACGGCCCAGACUCCUACGGGAGGGAGCAGUAGGGAAACUUCGGCAAUGGACGGAAGGCUGACCGAGCAACGCCGCGUGAGGGAAGAAGGUUUUCGGAUCGUAAAGCUCUGUUGUAAGAGAAGAACGAGUGUGAGAGUGGAAAGUUCACACUGUGACGGUAUCUUAACAGAAAGGGACGGCUAACUACGUG
rnacentral:rRNA from 1 species